UGUCGACUUGGAGGUUGUUCCCUUGAGGAGUGGCUUCCGGAGCUAACGCGUUAAGUCGACCGCCUGGGGAGUACGGCCGCAAGGUUAAAACUCAAAUGAAUUGACGGGGGCCCGCACAAGCGGUGGAGCAUGUGGUUUAAUUCGAUGCAACGCGAAGAACCUUACCUACUCUUGACAUCCACAGAAUUCGGCAGAGAUGCCUUAGUGCCUUCGGGAACUGUGAGACAGGUGCUGCAUGGCUGUCGUCAGCUCGUGUUGUGAAAUGUUGGGUUAAGUCCCGCAACGAGCGCAACCCUUAUCCUUUGUUGCCAGCGGUUCGGCCGGGAACUCAAAGGAGACUGCCAGUGAUAAACUGGAGGAAGGUGGGGAUGACGUCAAGUCAUCAUGGCCCUUACGAGUAGGGCUACACACGUGCUACAAUGGCGCAUACAAAGAGAAGCGACCUCGCGAGAGCAAGCGGACCUCAUAAAGUGCGUCGUAGUCCGGAUCGGAGUCUGCAACUCGACUCCGUGAAGUCGGAAUCGCUAGUAAUCGUAGAUCAGAAUGCUACGGUGAAUACGUUCCCGGGCCUUGCACACACCGCCCGUCAAAA
rnacentral:rRNA from 1 species